rnacentral:lncRNA from 1 species
UCUGCCGCGGCCGGGAAGUUCGAACAGAAGUCUGGGGAAGAGCCGGCGAAGAGCAAAGAGAUAAUACAGUACUCCCAGCUAUAGCAAGCGGCAGUUAUGGAGCAUGCGCAGCAGCAGGGGCGGCCGCAGGUCGCCGUUCAAUAAUACUCAAGGGAUUUGUACAGCCCUGUAGGAGACACCUCCAGAGAAAGUAACAGCUCUCAAUUGAUUAGCUGAGGAAGACACCAGACAAAUGAGUUACACUGUUUUGGACUCCCCAACACAACCCAGCCACCGGCUGAAUGCCACCAAAUUACCUUCUAGUUAAAGGUUUAUGGAGCAAACGAAUCACCUAUUCAAUAUCUGCUUGAAUUUCUGACUCAAAAUACAUCAGAAGCCUCAGGGGCUGGAUCCUGACAUGAACCAGACACCUCCAGAAUUCUAUCCCAAGCAAAAGAUUAUUUCAAGGCCAGAACUCACUCCCUGCUGGAGACUGACUACAAGAUCCACUGAGAUUGAUGUGUAACCUGAUUGGGCCCACAGUGAUGCUAGCCCCUUCACCAGAUGGAACAAUAAUUCCAGACAAGCCAUCAGAGCAGAGAGCAGAGAAGAGGAGAAGCAGCUGGAUGUCAGAGACUGCAGUUUGACGUUGGAGAAAAGCAGCUUGACUUCAGAGGGACAGCUUGACAGCAUGGAUUCAGAGAGGAGAAGAUCACCUUCCUGCUCCGUCCCCUUUCCAGCUCCCUUUCCCACUGAGAGCCACUUACACAGGCAAUAAAAUCCUCUGCAUUCACCACCCUUCAAUUCAU